rnacentral:lncRNA from 1 species
CAGAGCAUGAAGCAGUGAUGGACCUGGGCGAGGAGGGUUGUCCACGAGGUGGCCAUGUGAGAUGUCAAGAGUCAGAACUUCUGGCCCUUAUUUGUGAAAGACUUGUGACCUCAUGGAUACUGUAGAUUCCUCCCCGAGGAAUGUGUGUAUGUUGUGUGCUUCACAGAGGUCAUCUCAGCAUCACAUGAGAUAAUGUGCAUGAAAAUACUUCCUACAUGACGCAGGCUAAUACUAACCUGGUUCACAUAUUGAUCAUUUGACCUCAUCUACUGAUUAUUGGGGCUUUCAGACCUUAAUAUCCCAAGGGUGUGACAUUAAGGGAUUCCUGUAUUAAUGCAUAGGCUUCUCCCUUCACUGCAUUUAACCCAUUCUCCUGGUUUCCCAGACUACAGAUGCUACCAGGGAGAAGUGGAGAAGACACGGAAACUUCUCGCUGUUUUAAGAAGCGUCAGGGAAGAACCAAGAGGAGGAGGAAAGGCCGGCCACUGAAAGCUAUACUUCCAGCAUUGGAGCCAGGUGGGAAAGCAAAGCAAAAGCAAAGCAAAACAGCAACCAAAACCCACAAAGGAAUCUCUGUUGGUAGAACAGCUGAGCUGCAAAGAAGGAGGACCUCCAGACCAGAGUUGACAUGAUGUGAGUUUGGUCAGUUCACGGAUGUGAAUGUGAAGGUAAGAAUCCUCUGCAGCUGGCUAAGGAAGGCCAGUUUCAAUGCAGGAAAACCAAGAAUGAGUAGUGGACAGUGGAGAAACAGGAGAAGAGAGGAAAGCUAGACAUAAAAUGACAAGGAACAGAAAACACAGCAAACUUUAGUGUGGGGGGUGACCCCUGUGACACUGCUGAGUCCCCGUGAUCACAUCUCCCUGUAUUUGCCUUUAUGUAGUCCUCUGUCUUUGAACUGGAACAGGGACUGUGACUUAUUCAGUCUAGAAGUGGCAGAGUGAUGCUGUACUACUUCCUGUAUCUAUACGGGAAGCCUGAGAAGUUCUGCUUCUGGGCUCUGAGCCCUGAUCUGCUCUAUAGAGGACUCUGUGACCCUGCUGGAGCUAUGUGGAGAGGCCAUGGGAGGAAAGCCUAGCCAAUCCCAGACCCCACCAGCCGAGUACAUCCAUAUGAGUAACCAUUGAGUAGAAAAUCAGAAGAGCCACCCAGCUAAGCCCAGCCCAGAUUGCAGAAUUGUGAGCAAACAAAAUGUCCUUUGUUUUAACCCAGGAAUUUUGGGGGACUUUUGCUCUAUCACAAAACAUGACUGUUCGUAUGAUAACGAAGGAGAAGCAACAAGUCUCGAGGCCCAGGGGCUCUGCCCUCUGAGACCAUUGGUGUGGAGUGAAGAUGCAGGCCUGGGACCAUGGCAAGCUCAGUCAUAGCCUCACUUUUUACCUUUUGCUCUGUGGCCUGGGGCAAGUUAUUUAGUCUCUUGGGCCUGAGUUCCGUUAUCUGUAAAAUGAGAAAAAUAUUUCUUCCCUAACCAAAGAGUUAAGAAAUGAAAUGAGUGAGAGUUUGGGACACAUAUUUAGUACCCAUCAAACAUGAGUUUGUUCUGUUCCAUUUUUCCUUAGAGUUCCCUCCCUUACCCCUGCAGGGGUGAUCUAAGCUACAUUAACUUUUAAGAAGAGUCCUGUGCCCUGCUAAAGG